UACGGGGGGAGCAAGCGUUGUUCGGAAUUACUGGGCGUAAAGGGCUCGUAGGCGGCCAACUAAGUCAGACGUGAAAUCCCUCGGCUUAACCGAGGAACUGCGUCUGAUACUGGAUGGCUUGAGUUUGGGAGAGGGAUGCGGAAUUCCAGGUGUAGCGGUGAAAUGCGUAGAUAUCUGGAGGAACACCGGUGGCGAAGGCGGCAUCCUGGACCAACACUGACGCUGAGGAGCGAAAGCCAGGGGAGCAAACGGG
rnacentral:rRNA from 1 species